AUUAGAUACCCUAUUAUUUUUAUCGUGAAGUAAUUAAGCUAGAGUAGUAAUAGUUAUGAUCUUUAAACUUAAAGAAUUUGGCGGUAUUAUAGUCUAUUUAGAGGAAUCUGUUAUGUAAUCGAUAAUCCACGUUGAACCUUACUUAUGUUAAGUUCUUGUAUAUCGCUGUUUAGAAUAUUUUUUUAGAUUAUUUUCUUAAUAUUUUAUUUAUUAAUAUUUCAAGUCAAGGUGCAGUAAUACGUAAGUUGAAUAAUGGAUUACAAUAAAUUUUAUUUAUUAUGAAUUGUUAUUGAAAUAUAAUUUUGAAGGUGGAUUUAAUUGUAAUUUUUUAAAUAUUAUAAAAAUGAUUUUAGCUCUAUAAUGUGUACACAUCGCCCG
rnacentral:rRNA from 1 species